UACAGAGGGUGCGAACGUUGCUCGGAAUUACUGGGCGUAAAGCGCGUGUAGGCGGAUUGCUAAGUCGGGCGUGAAAUCCCCAGGCUCAACCUGGGAACUGCGCUCGAAACUGGCAGUCUCGAGUAUCGGAGAGGGUGGCGGAAUUCCUGGUGUAGAGGUGGAAUUCGUAGAUAUCAGGAGGAACACCGGUGGCGAAGGCGGCCACCUGGACGAUUACUGACGCUGAGACGCGAAAGCGUGGGGAGCAAACAGG
rnacentral:rRNA from 1 species